rnacentral:rRNA from 1 species
UCAGAUCAGGUAGGGACACCGCCUGAACUUAAGCAUAUCAAUAAGGCGAGGAAUAGAAACCAACAGGGAUUCCCCCAGUAGUGGCGAAUGAAGCGGGAAAAGCUCAAGUUUGAAAUCUGGUAGGUAAAACUGUCCAGAGUUGUAAGCUGGAGAGGCGAUGUCCGACGCGGUCCAGGCUCAAUUUCCUUGGAACAGGAGGUCAUGGAGGGUGAGAACCCCGUACAUGGCUUGGGUACCGCCGUCCUUGUGACGCGUCCUCUAAGAGUCGGGUUGUUUGGGAAUGCAGCUCAAAAUGGGUGGUAAAUUUCAUCUAAAGCUAAAUAUUGGCGAGAGACCGAUAGCAAACAAGUAGAGUGAUCGAAAGAUGAAAAGUACUUUGAAAAGAGAGUGAAACAGUACGUGAAAUUGUUGAAAGGGAAGCGUUUGGCAUCAGCCCAUGGCGGUGGUCGAACAUCUGGGCUUCUGCCUAGUGCACUCGGCCGCCGUUGGGCCAGCGUCGGCUCUGCCUGCCGGAGAAAGGCCUUGGGGAAGUGGCUCUCUUCGGGGAGCGUUAUAACCCUUGGUGUCAUGCGGCUGGGCGGGGCCGAGG